UGGAAAAUCACUCUCGGAUCUUUGCCAAAAAAAACCAAACCCAAAUGGGGUCACAGAGAGUCAAACACGACUGAACAACGGCUGUGUGGAUCCUGGACUUCGGUCACUGUGUGUGCUGCUGUCCUGGUACUGGUACUACUUUUGGGUUGUUUCGUAGUGAAUCUCAUUUUGUCUGACACCUCUGAGCUACAAAAAGUUUAUCAGAUAAUCACAAAUCCAUUGCCAUGAGCUGUCCUUGCUUUGGGUAGGACACAUCCAACAUAAGAUGAAGUGGAUAGAGAGAAGAGACCCCUAUUCAAGAUUAUCCUUCAUGAUGAAAAAGAAGAGAUAAGAAGUAGUCCCAGAGGUCACCUUAAUUUAACUGGUGUUAGAUAAAAAUGUAUGGUUGAGAGUUAAAUAUUCCUAUUUUGACAAAAAUUCUUUGAGAUUUGUAUAAUGAAUAUGUAAUCUCAUCCCCUAUGUGAUCAAACACAACACAAUUAAGAUGUUUUUGAGGAUUCUCACAAAAUAAUUGUUGUAGAGUUGGAGAGGGCAUCAUUAUUUUCUGGAUUUUGAAAACUAUUUCCCAAGCCUCCUCUGGUGUUUGAGAACUGGAUUCAUAUUUCUGGGCCAUGGCAAAAAACAGAGACAAUGAGUUUUUUAGCCAGGGAUGGAAUGCACCUAAUGAAGGUCAGGGAAAACAGAAUUGCCUGAAUGCUAGAGAAAAAUCUAAUAAGGAUUUGAAAAAGGAAGAGAGGGUGAACAUCAUUCACAUGGAUGACCAUACACAUGCCAUAUACAGAGGUACAAUAGAAGGGGAAUCACAGAAACAGAUUUAGAGCUGAAAGGGGUCUUAGAGGUCAUCUACACCAACCCCUUCAUUUUAUAGAUGAAGAAACUGAGUACCAAAGAGGUUAAACAUCUUAACCAAGACCAUAUUUGUAACAGAGCCAGAAUACUAAGUUAGGACCUCAGACUGUAAGCACAUUACUCUUUGUACUAAAAUGUGACCUAGAGAACAAGGUCUGUCUCGCUUUUCUAUUUUUAUUUUCAGGACCUAAACAAUGACUUGGCACAUAAUCGAUCCAUCAGUGAGCAUUUAUUAAGUACUGACCAUGGGCCAAGACCUGUGCUGAGUCCUAGGGUUACAAAGCAAAAGCUCAAAUAGUUCCUGACUUCAGGGAGCUUACAUUCUAAAGGAGAUUGAGGUUCACCAUAUCACAAUGCCCCUUGAGAAUGGAAGAGAGGAUUACUAAUGCCAGAGACAAUAUGAAAAAGAAAGCAGUAACCCAUGACCUCCUAUGUCUCAUACAAGUGAAAAAAGUAUUGAUAAUAUAUAGAAAGAACUCGCAACAUUAAUAUAGAGAGGCAAAUGUGACCUCAAAGGUAUCACAGAUCCUGUGGUGUGGGACUGGUAGCUUGAAUGUAGCUCUGGAAAGGAAUGCCUUAUUUUAAAAACCAAUCAGUCAGUUACUAGUAAGAGCAAUGCAAAUCCAAACAACCUUGAGGUUUCACCUCAUACUCUGAAAAUUGGUAAAGACGAUGAAAAUGGGAAUAGUCAAUGCUGGAGGGGUUGUGGGAAUAUGGGCACACUGUUGCACUCUUGGUGAAGCUGUGAAUCAUGGCAACCAUUUUGAAGAGCGACUUGGAGUGAUGUAAAUAAAGAGCCUAAAAUACUCAUAUCCUUUGAACCAGAGACUCAUUCACUACUUACUGAGCUUAUACUCCAAGUAGCCCAGGAUAAGAAGA